rnacentral:rRNA from 1 species
GAGUUGCGAACGGGUGAGUAACGCGUAGGUAACCUGCCUUGUAGCGGGGGAUAACUAUUGGAAACGAUAGCUAAUACCGCAUAACAAUGGAUGACACAUGUCAUUUAUUUGAAAGGGGCAAUUGCUCCACUACAAGAUGGACCUGCGUUGUAUUAGCUAGUAGGUGAGGUAAUGGCUCACCUAGGCGACGAUACAUAGCCGACCUGAGAGGGUGAUCGGCCACACUGGGACUGAGACACGGCCCAGACUCCUACGGGAGGCAGCAGUAGGGAAUCUUCGGCAAUGGGGGCAACCCUGACCGAGCAACGCCGCGUGAGUGAAGAAGGUUUUCGGAUCGUAAAGCUCUGUUGUAAGUCAAGAACGGGUGUGAGAGUGGAAAGUUCACACUGUGACGGUAGCUUACCAGAAAGGGACGGCUAACUACGUGCCAGCAGCCGCGGUAAUACGUAGGUCCCGAGCGUUGUCCGGAUUUAUUGGGCGUAAAGCGAGCGCAGGCGGUUUGAUAAGUCUGAAGUUAAAGGCUGUGGCUCAACCAUAGUUCGCUUUGGAAACUGUCAAACUUGAGUGCAGAAGGGGAGAGUGGAAUUCCAUGUGUAGCGGUGAAAUGCGUAGAUAUAUGGAGGAACACCGGUGGCGAAAGCGGCUCUCUGGUCUGUAACUGACGCUGAGGCUCGAAAGCGUGGGGAGCGAACAGGAUUAGAUACCCUGGUAGUCCACGCCGUAAACGAUGAGUGCUAGGUGUUGGAUCCUUUCCGGGAUUCAGUGCCGCAGCUAACGCAUUAAGCACUCCGCCUGGGGAGUACGACCGCAAGGUUGAAACUCAAAGGAAUUGACGGGGGCCCGCACAAGCGGUGGAGCAUGUGGUUUAAUUCGAAGCAACGCGAAGAACCUUACCAGGUCUUGACAUCCCGAUGCUAUUUCUAGAGAUAGAAAGUUACUUCGGUACAUCGGUGACAGGUGGUGCAUGGUUGUCGUCAGCUCGUGUCGUGAGAUGUUGGGUUAAGUCCCGCAACGAGCGCAACCCCUAUUGUUAGUUGCCAUCAUUCAGUUGGGCACUCUAGCGAGACUGCCGGUAAUAAACCGGAGGAAGGUGGGGAUGACGUCAAAUCAUCAUGCCCCUUAUGACCUGGGCUACACACGUGCUACAAUGGUUGGUACAACGAGUUGCGAGUCGGUGACGGCGAGCUAAUCUCUUAAAGCCAAUCUCAGUUCGGAUUGUAGGCUGCAACUCGCCUACAUGAAGUCGGAAUCGCUAGUAAUCGCGGAUCAGCACGCCGCGGUGAAUACGUUCCCGGGCCUUGUACACACCGCCCGUCACACCACGAGAGUUUGUAACACCCGAAG